rnacentral:tRNA from 1 species
GCAGUCGGGGCCGAGUGGUCAAGGCGAUGGACUUGAAAUCCAUUGGGGUCUCCCCACACAGGUUCGAAUCCUGUCGACUGCG